GGAGGGAUGGCCGAGCGGUUGAAGGCGCCUGUCUUGAAAACAGGUUUAGGGAAACCUAACGUGGGUUCGAAUCCCACUUCCUCCG
rnacentral:tRNA from 2 species